GGGUAGGUUCCAGAGCGGUCAAAUGGGGCAGACUGUAAAUCUGUUGUCUUCGACUUCGCUGGUUCGAAUCCAGCCCUACCCA
rnacentral:tRNA from 1 species